GGGGGGGGGGGGGGGGGGGGGGGGCGGGGGCGGGGCGGGGGGGGGGGCCGGGCGGGGGGGGGGUGCUCGAGUGGCGAGCGGGUGGGUAGCACGUGAGUAACCUGCCCUGGACUUUGGGAUAACUUCAGGAAACUGGGGCUAAUACCGGAUAGGAGCUCCUGCUGCAUGGUGGGGGUUGGAAAGUUUCGGCGGUUGGGGAUGGACUCGCGGCUUAUCAGCUUGUUGGUGGGGUAGUGGCUUACCAAGGCUUUGACGGGUAGCCGGCCUGAGAGGGUGACCGGCCACAUUGGGACUGAGAUACGGCCCAGACUCCUACGGGAGGCAGCAGUGGGGAAUAUUGCACAAUGGGCGGAAGCCUGAUGCAGCAACGCCGCGUGCGGGAUGACGGCCUUCGGGUUGUAAACCGCUUUCGCCUGUGACGAAGCGUGAGUGACGGUAAUGGGUAAAGAAGCACCGGCUAACUACGUG
rnacentral:rRNA from 1 species